rnacentral:rRNA from 1 species
CCUACGGGAGGCAGCAGUAGGGAAUCUUCCGCAAUGGACGAAAGUCUGACGGAGCAACGCCGCGUGAGCGAUGAAGGCCUUCGGGUCGUAAAGCUCUGUUGUCAGGGAAGAACAAGUAUCGGAGUAACUGCUGGUACCUUGACGGUACCUAACCAGAAAGCCACGGCUAACUACGUGCCAGCAGCCGCGGUAAUACGUAGGUGGCAAGCGUUGUCCGGAAUUAUUGGGCGUAAAGCGCGCGCAGGCGGUCCUUUAAGUCUGAUGUGAAAGCCCACGGCUCAACCGUGGAGGGUCAUUGGAAACUGGGGGACUUGAGUGCAGAAGAGGAAAGCGGAAUUCCACGUGUAGCGGUGAAAUGCGUAGAGAUGUGGAGGAACACCAGUGGCGAAGGCGGCUUUCUGGUCUGUAACUGACGCUGAGGCGCGAAAGCGUGGGGAGCAAACAGGAUUAGAUACCCUGGUAGUCCACGCCGUAAACGAUGAGUGCUAAGUGUUAGGGGGUUUCCGCCCCUUAGUGCUGCAGCUAACGCAUUAAGCACUCCGCCUGGGGAGUACGGCCGCAAGGCUGAAACUCAAAGGAAUUGACGG